rnacentral:rRNA from 1 species
UAGAGUUUGAUCCUGGCUCAGAACGAACGCUGGCGGCAGGCUUAACACAUGCAAGUCGAACGCCCCGCAAGGGGAGUGGCAGACGGGUGAGUAACGCGUGGGAACAUACCCUUUCCUGCGGAAUAGCUCCGGGAAACUGGAAUUAAUACCGCAUACGCCCUACGGGGGAAAGAUUUAUCGGGGAAGGAUUGGCCCGCGUUGGAUUAGCUAGUUGGUGGGGUAAAGGCCUACCAAGGCGACGAUCCAUAGCUGGUCUGAGAGGAUGAUCAGCCACAUUGGGACUGAGACACGGCCCAAACUCCUACGGGAGGCAGCAGUGGGGAAUAUUGGACAAUGGGCGCAAGCCUGAUCCAGCCAUGCCGCGUGAGUGAUGAAGGCCUUAGGGUUGUAAAGCUCUUUCACCGAUGAAGAUAAUGACGGUAGUCGGAGAAGAAGCCCCGGCUAACUUCGUGCCAGCAGCCCCGGUCAA